CUUCCAGACUCCUACGGGAGGCAGCAGUGGGGAAUAUUGCACAAUGGGGGAAACCCUGAUGCAGCGACGCCGCGUGAGCGAAGAAGUACCUCGGUAUGUAAAGCUCUAUCAGCAGGGAAGAAGAUGACGGUACCUGACCAAGAAGCUCCGGCUAAAUACGUGCCAGCAGCCGCGGUAAUACGUAUGGAGCAAGCGUUAUCCGGAUUUACUGGGUGUAAAGGGAGCGCAGGCGGCCUUGCAAGCCUGAUGUGAAAGGCCGGGGCCCAACCCCGGGACUGCAUUGGGAACUACCGGGCUGGAGUGCCGGAGAGGUAGGCGGAAUUCCUAGUGUAGCGGUGAAAUGCGUAGAUAUUAGGAAGAACACCAGUGGCGAAGGCGGCUUUCUGGACUGAAACUGACGCUGAGGCACGAAAGCGUGGGGAGCGAACAGGAUUAGAUACCCGGGUA
rnacentral:rRNA from 1 species